AAUAUUACUAUAAUAAUCCCAAAUUAACGUACUGAUACAUAUAUGAAUCAUUAAAUGUCUCAUGUAAUUCCAGCAAAUUUACACUGCAUUCGGUUUCAGUUUUUGGCUUGAUCUGAAUCUGUAUCCGUAUCGCUUGGCUACAAUCAGUUUGGUAACCGUUUAAUUGGCCGACAAUGGAGCUGUUUGGUCCCCGGAAAAAUGUCAAGCGUGGAAUGCCGGGUAAAUGCGGCGGCUAAUCAGAGACCGUGGCCACAAAGACAGCCGUUUGGAGUGGAGGCCAGGGCCCCAUGAACAUGGACCCAUGAUCGAUUGCAGUCACCUCAACGCGAGGUGACAGUCACCGUCCGUGUCGCAGUUGACACACAGGCCACAAUCGACAGUCGACUGGGCGAGGCACUUGCGAUAUUCCACAUCCACAUCGAUUUCCAUUUCAAAUGGUAGCAAUUACAAAAGGCGACCCCCGAACUAUUUGACACUGUUUGCCGCUGAAUGUUGAUUAAUUAGAUCGAAGUGGACUGGCUUGGAUUGGAUACGAUUGGAUUGGAUUGGAUUGGCCAAGAUGGCGGGGGACUCUUCUCCCUACGAGAUUAGCGCAUCUGGAGAGGAUGGGCCCCCAAGAUAAAGGUAUAUAUAUGUAUAUACAUGUAAACCCAAAUAUCUGGCGUCGGCACAGCGUAUUUGAUCCACGAUGACUAGCUUGUAUUACUAAAAUAUGCUGAGUCUUGGUCUUCGGAUUCGAACUCGUAUCGCAUUCGAUCGCCAAACACUUUUUAGAGUAAUUUCAAUUUCAUAAUUCGUUGCGCUAAUCUCGUCUUUCUCAUGAUCGCAGAGAACUCGCAGCUGAGUCAGUGCAUCUCUUCAUCCCCAUCUCCACACAGAUCCCAGAUCCAUUUCCAGCUACUUCGGAUUGUGCCGCAUCAUGCCAAUGGAUCCGCUCCUCUGAUUGAUACAUAAACACGCGCAAAACUCCUUCUCCGAUCGGAUCUAUAUCUAUUUGGGUUCCAUUGGCGGCAUUUCUAAUAGAAAUGUCGAGUAUCCAAAGAAAUCAGAAGACUUUCGUUUUUUUCCCCGGCAUACUUUUGUUGUGGGCUGCUUCUUCCGUCGGCCGUCUUUUUAACUGUCUAAGCCCUUCCGCCGCCUUUAUCAAUAAGCCAGCCGAGAUAAGCCAACUGGCUUGGGGCGCAGGAGUCGAGCGACCCUGCUUCCUUGGCAUGUCAGCUAUUUUGCAUAACUGACAGCAGAACCCAUACCUACAAGAACGGCACAUACUCAGACCUCCAGCAAACAAUCAAAUGCUGUCUAGUGCCAAGAGUGGGCGUUCCAGGGGGAGUUUACCGACCAAAAAUGCUCUGCACAGUGGUAACGGAUUAAAGGUACAGAUUAAAGUUGAGCAAAUCGAUGCAGUAAUAAAUAUAUUAUAUAUAACAUAAACUUAAUAAUAUAUACUUAAGCUGAACACAGAAAUGAAAAAUGUUGCCUCUCUUUUAAAGGCUGCAUGAAAUUCCUGAAUUGCAUACCUUUAAAUCAAAUCCAAAGUAAUGCAUAAAUGCUUUAUAAAUGUAUGAAUUUUGUAUAAGAACGGUUUAUUUAUGAAGUGUAAAGAAUAUUUCAUAUUUCCACUGUACGACUUUCAAGUCCGCCCAGUCAAAACGAGCAGGGGCGUUUUUGUGGGGAGUCGAGUGGGCUGUGUGUGGGUGGUGGGCGUGGGCUGGGUCAGGGGGCGUCGCUCCACUUGUGGUUGUUGCUGCCAUUAUUGUUGUUCUGGCUGCGUAUUUGGCGCUUCCUUCUUCUGCAUACAUGAAUAAGUAAUUGAAUUUUGCGGCGAGUUGUCAAUUUUGUUUUUCCCGCCAGCUUUUGAACUGCCUUUCGCCCCACAGUCACGAUUUCCACACAGC
ensembl:ncRNA lncRNA:CR44415 long non-coding RNA:CR44415